rnacentral:rRNA from 1 species
ACUCAAAUGAAUAGACGGGGGCCCGCACAAGCGGUGGAGCAUGUGGUUCAAUUCGACGCAACGCGAAGAACCUUACCUGGGUUUGACAUGCUGGUAGUAGGAAACCGAAAGGGGACUGAGCCCCGCAAGGGGAGGCCAGCACAGGUGCUGCAUGGCUGUCGUCAGCUCGUGCCGUGAGGUGUUGGGUUAAGUCCCGCAACGAGCGCAACCCUCGCCCUCUGUUUGCUACCGGGUCAUGCCGGGCACUCUGAGGGGACUGCGCCGGAUAACGGCGAGGAAGGUGAGGAUGACGUCAAGUCAUCAUGGCCCUUAUGCCCAGGGCGACACACGUGCUACAAUGGCCGGUACAAAGGGUCGCAAACCCGCAAGGGGGAGCCAAUCCCAAAAAGCCGGUCUCAGUUCAGAUCGGGGUCUGCAACUCGACCCCGUGAAGGUGGAAUCGCUAGUAAUCGCGCAUCAGAACGGCGCGGUGAAUACGUUCCCGGGCCUUGCACACACCGCCCGU